GACGAACGCUGGCGGCAUGCCUAAUACAUGCAAGUCGAGCGAACAGAUGAAGUGCUUGCACUUCUGACGUUAGCGGCGAACGGGUGAGUAACACGUAAGGAAUCUACCUAUAAGCGGGGGAUAACAUUCGGAAACGGGUGCUAAUACCGCAUAAUAUCUUCUUCCGCAUGGAAGAAGAUUGAAAGACGGCUCUGCUGUCACUUAUAGAUGACCUUGCGGUGCAUUAGUUAGUUGGUGGGGUAACGGCCUACCAAGACGAUGAUGCAUAGCCGACCUGUGAGGGUGAUCGGCCACAUUGGGACUGGUACACGGCCCAAACUCCUACGGGAGGCAGCAGUAGGGAAUCUUCCGCAAUGGGCGAAAGCCUGACGGAGCAAUGCCGCGUGAGUGAAGAAGGCCUUCGGGUCGUAAAACUCUGUUAUAAGAGAAGAACAAAUUGUAGAGUAACUGCUACAGUCUUGACGGUAUCUUAUCAGAAAGCCACGGCUAACUACGUGCCAGCCGCCGCCGUAA
rnacentral:rRNA from 1 species